rnacentral:rRNA from 1 species
AGGAUAAACGCUGGCGGCGUGCCUAACACAUGCAAGUCGAACGCGCUUUCGGGCUUCGGUGCGAGAGCGAGUGGCGGACGGGUGAGUAACACAUGGGUACCUACCUUGGAGUGAGGGAUACCGGCGAGAAAUCGCCGACAAUACCGCAUAGGCUUCUUCACAAGGGAAGCAAAGUGACGCGAGUCACGCUUUGAGAUGGGCCUGUGGCCGAUUAGCUAGUUGGGGGGGUAACGCUUCCCAAGGCGUCGAUCGGUAGCUGGUCUGAGAGGACGAUCAGCCACACUGGGAUUGAGAACGGCCCAGACUCCUACGGGGGGCAGCAGUGAGGAAUUUUCGGCAAUGGGGGAAACCCUGACCGAGCAACGCCGCGUGCAGGAAGACGGCCUUCGGGUUGUAAACUGCUUUCUUUGGGACGAGUAAGGACGGUACCAGAGGAAUCAGCCCGGCUCACUACGUGCCAGCAGCCGC